rnacentral:ncRNA from 1 species
AAAAUGAGUUUGAUUCUUUUUUAUAAGUUAAUUUUAGGAAAAAUUUAUAUGUUUAUUUUUUUAAUAAUUUUUUCUCAGUAAUUAGUAUUGUUUUUAAUUUUAAUUUUUAUAUAGUUAUUUUUAUUAAGGAUGGAUUAAUUUUGUGCCAGCAUUCGCGGUUAUACAUUUUAUUCAAGUUAAUUUUUUUGGUUAAAUAAUUUAUAUUGGGGUUUGAUAAUUUAAUUUCUUAAAUUUAAGUGGAAUUUAUUUAAGGGUUUUUUCUUUAUAAUAUUUAUCUUGUAAGUUUGGGUUUAAAACUAGGAUUAGAUACCCUAUUAUUCCUUAUCUAUUUUGUUUUCUGAAUAUUAACAGUUUCGUUCUGUAAAACUUAAAGGAUUUGGCGGCACUUAACUCUUUUCAGAGGAACCUGUUUUUUAAUUGAUAAACCACGAUAGUUUUUACCUUUAAUUUUACUUGUAUAUCGCUAUAAUUUUUGAAUGUUUUUUGAGGGUAUUUUCUUUUUUAAUCUUUAAUUUAUAUUAGGUCAAGGUGCAGUUUUUAAAGGUUUAAAUGGGUUACAUUUAUUUUAAUUUUGGUUAAUAUAUAUUUAAUAUUUUAUUAAAUUGGAUUUGAUAGUAAUUUUAACUUAUUAGUUAUUUUGAAUUUUGUUCUUGAGUGUGUACAUAUCGCCCGUCACUCCUUUCUGAGGAUAAGUCGUAACAAAGUAGAUUUACCGGAAGGUGUAUCUGGUUA